rnacentral:rRNA from 1 species
UAGUAAUGGGCGAAAGCCUGAACUAGCAACGCCGCGUGUGCGAAGAAGGCCUUCGGGUUGUAAAGCACUUUUUGAGAGGAUGAGGAAGGACGGUACUCUCAGAAUAAGUCUCGGCUAACUACGUGCCAGCAGCCGCGGUAACACGUAGGAGGCGAACGUUAUCCGGAUUUACUGGGCGUAAAGCGCGUGUAGGUAGUUUGGUAAGUAGGGCGUGAAAGCUCCUGGCUCAACUGGGAGAGGCCGUUCUAAACUGCCGAACUAGAGGAUGGUAGAGGGAGGUGGAAUUCCGGGUGUAGCGGUGGAAUGCGCAGAUAUCCGGAGGAACACCAGUGGCGAAAGCGGCCUCCUGGACCAUUCCUGACACUCAGACGCGAAAGCUAGGGUAGCAAACG